rnacentral:rRNA from 1 species
AUCCCAGCUCCAAUAGCGUAUGUUAAAGUUGUUGCGGCUAAAAAGCUCGUAGUUGGAUUUCUAGAUGAGAGGAGUGGUCUACUCUAUGAGUGUGUAUCUACUUCCGCUCGUCUAUCCGCUCUGCAAACGUGUCUGCGCUUGACUGCGUGGCGCGGAGGUAGGGCCUUUUACUUUGAGGAAAUUAGAGUGUUCACGGCAGGCAAUCGCCUUGAAUAUAUUAGCAUGGAAUAAUAACAUAGGAUCUUGGUUCUAUUUUGUUGGUUUCUAGGGCUAAGAUAAUGAUUAAUAGGGACAAUUGGGGGCAUUCGUAUCGCGGUGUCAGAGGUGGAAUUCUUGGAUUACUGCGCGACGAACUACUGCGAAAGCAUUUGCCAAGGAUGUUUUCAUUA